CGAUUGGGCCCGACGUCGCAUGCUCCCGGCCGCCAUGGCGGCCGCGGGAAUUCGCAUUAUAAAUACACUAAUAAUCAACUGACACUGAUGGACGAAAGCGUGGGUAGCGAACAGGAUCAGAUACCCUGGUAGUCCACGCCGUAAACGAUGGUCACUAGCUGUUUGGACUUCGGUCUGAGUGGCUAAGCGAAAGUGAUAAGUGACCCACCUGGGGAGUACGUUCGCAAGAAUGAAACUCAAAGGAAUUGACGGGGGCCCGCACAAGCGGUGGAGCAUGUGGUUUAAUUCGAUGA
rnacentral:rRNA from 1 species